UUUUUGAUGCCGCUGGCUUUGGCUUAACACAUGCAAGUCGAGCGGAAACCAUGGUAGCUUGCUACCAGGCGUCGAGCGGCGGACGGGUGAGUAAUACUUAGGAAUCUACCUAGUAGUCGGGGGAUAGCACGGGGAAACUCGUAUUAAUACCGCAUACGACCUACGGGAGAAAGGGGGCAGUUUACUGCUCUCGCUAUUAGAUGAGCCUAAUUCGGAUUAGCUAGAUGGUGGGGUAAAGGCCUACCAUGGCGACGAUCUGUAGCUGGUCUGAGAGGAUGAUCAGCCACACCGGGACUGAGACACGGCCCGGACUCCUACGGGAGGCAGCAGUGGGGAAUAUUGGACAAUGGGGGAAACCCUGAUCCAGCCAUGCCGCGUGUGUGAAGAAGGCCUUUUGGUUGUAAAGCACUUUAAGCAGUGAAGAAGACUCCGUGGUUAAUCCCACGGACGAUGACAUUAGCUGCAGAAUAAGCACCGGCUAACUCUGUGCCAGCAGCCGCGGUAAUACAGAGGGUGCAAGCGUUAAUCGGAAUUCUGGGCGUAAAGGGAGCGUAGGUGGCUAAUAAGUCAGAUGUGAAAUCCCCGGCUCACCUGGGAACUGCAUCUGAUCUGUUGAGCUAGAGUUGUGAGAGAAGGUGAAUUCAGGUGUAGCGGUGAAAUCGUAAAAUCUGGAGGAAU
rnacentral:rRNA from 1 species